UUUCGAUCAAUCGUCGUAGAACAAGCGUACCUUUUAUAGUGGCUACGCCGCUCUCUCCUCCUCCUCGCAUUGCGACGGUGUCGUCUGCACUUUGACCACCCCGCCUUCUGUCUUUCGCACUUUUUUUCUUUGCGAUGUCGCAUAUGACAAUGAUACCAUCUACGUUGAAUAAAACAUUACACUAAUGUCUAACACUCUGGGACGACUUGUAUAUGAUGACGAGAAGACCCAGUGUGGGAUUCGAACCCAGGAACCUUCUACACUGGACGCGACACACUAACCACCAGUCUAAUUCGUACUGCGUGACGUUUUUCGUAUUCCGGGGUUCGUGUCUACACACGUCACAACAUGUUCAAACACGUCCGAACAUGUUCAAACAUGUUCAAUGACGUCAUAGAGAGUUAGAGGAAAAGCUUUACUAUAAAUAUCAAAGCGAACGUUCGAUCGUCAUUCUCGUGUCAUCAUGAUCAGGUUGGUAGAUCCUCGUAAGUAAUACCCAUGACGUCAUCAUCGAAAUGUUUGAAAAGUUUCGUUUCCAGUGUACAACACUUUUGCUGCGCGUGAAGUCGGUUUUUUCCCGCCUCACAGAUUUCGGGAGAUUGGCAGCGCCCGCUUCUUCUGCACACAAUUGCGGUGGACUGUGGUCUAAAGACCAAAGCAUUGGACGGACCGAUUGAUUCGCCCGUUUCUCGGCUGUCAGACGGUACGGUUCGACGUACGUUGCGAAGGACUUCGACUAUUGAAGGAAGAUGGAAAGGAUGGACCAUCAGUGUCACUCUGUGACUGAAGAAGAUUAUUACGAUUGGAUACUGACGGGAGAUCUACCCCUGGUCCUAACCUUCAAGCCUCCUCCGAAAACCUUCUUUUUGCGGAUCGGCGAUCAGCUGACCACUUGUCGUUGCGGUGGACUCUGGUCGAGAAACCCCAGCCAUUGGUUAGACUCGAGCCUUCGUCCGUAUUUGGGCUGUCUUCCCGGCUACGAAACCAAAGCUGGAGCCUAAUUCAUGUGUAACC